rnacentral:rRNA from 1 species
GACGUAGGGUGCGAGCGUUGUCCGGAUUUAUUGGGCGUAAAGAGCUCGUAGGCGGCUCAUUGCGUCAACCGUGAAAACCAGCAGCUCAACUGUUGGCUUGCGGUUGAUACGGGUGGGCUGGAGUUCGGUAGGGGAGACUGGAAUUCCUGGUGUAGCGGUGAAAUGCGCAGAUAUCAGGAGGAACACCGGUGGCGAAGGCGGGUCUCUGGGCCGAUACUGACGCUGAGGAGCGAAAGCGUGGGGAGCGAACGGG